CGGCCGGGGACACGGGGACGGGGCCGGCGCCAGCGCGGGAGGUGGGACAGGACGGGAUGUGCUGCGCGGGGCGGGCGGGCAGCGCCGGGCCCUGUGCCCCUGGGGCCGGCCGGGAGCGCUCCCCGCCGCACCCAGAGCCCUCUCGCUGCGGCCGGGGGACAGGAGGGCACCUCGCUUCUGGCAGCGCGAAACGUGUCCGCCCCCCCGUCCCACUCCGAUCUCCUCCUCUUCAGCACUGAGGGUGUCAAGUAUCUCACAUUAAAGGCAGCUUGCGCUCUCUGGUUCAUCGAAAGUCUAAAAAACGGUGUAUCUGUUUCCUCGUGUUAGGAGAAAAGUAAAAAGUAAAUUAACCGAAUUCGUUUUGUGCUCAAUGCAGGACCUUCGCCUUCUGAAACGGGAACUGAAAUUUGGCUCGUCAGCAUCGAGUUGCUGAUGAAAAUCUUGGUCACCUCAGCAUUUGCCAUCUUUUUGUCAGCUUAAGAAAAAAACCUAAAAACUUAUGAGAAGUGUUUUGCCAAGUCUUUCAGAUUCAGGAGGGAAUACUUUGUCACAUGUCUGUAAAGCAGCCAGCCCUCUACAGUCUCUGGGUAGAUUCUGGCACUGUACUCAUAAGGAACAGGAAAAUGAAAAUGCUACAAAUGUUGAAACCCUGAUGGUACUUUCUGUAACUGUCUCCAUUAGCUGUUUGGGUUGUGUCUUUUUGUCACAGAGUCUGAAUCUAAAGAAUGCAUGUUAUGAUCACGUGUUGUUCUGGCCUAUGUCGGAUUACAUUCUGGUUACGUUCUAUUUUUUCUGCACUGAUUUCGGUUCCAUAAAUACACAUCUCAAACUUCUCUCAUGUCCAUAA
rnacentral:lncRNA from 1 species